UCCCUUAGUAACUGCGAGUGAAGUGGGAAAAGCUCAAAUUUGUAAUCUGGCAGUUCUUGACUGUCCGAGUUGUAAUCUAGAGAAGUGUUACCUGUGCUGGACCAUGUACAAGUCUUCUGGAAUGGAGUAUCAUAGAGGGUGAGAAUCCCGUCUUUGACAUGGACUACCAGUGCGUUAUGGUAUGCUCUCAAAGAGUCGAGUUGUUUGGGAAUGCAGCUCAAAAUGGGUGGUAAAUGCCAUCUAAAGCUAAAUAUUGGCGAGAGACCGAUAGCGAACAAGUACCGUGAGGGAAAGAUGAAAAGAACUUUGGAAAGAGAGUUAAACAGUACGUGAAAUUGCUGAAAGGGAAACGCUUGAAGUCAGUCACAUUGGCCAGAAAUCAGCCUUGCUUUUGCUGGGUGUAUUUUCUUGUUGAUGGGUCAGCAUCAAUUUUGACUGCUGGACAAAGUCUUUGGGAAUGUGGCAUCUUUGGAUGUGUUAUAGCCCAUUGUCGUAUACAGUGGUUGGGAUUGAGGAACUCAGCACGCCGCAAGGCCGGGUUUUUAACCACGUUCGUGCUUAGGAUGCUGGCAUAAUGGCUUUAAUCGACCCGUCUUGAAACACGGACCAAGGAGUCUAACAUGCCUGCAAGUGUUUGAGUGGAAAACUCAUUCGCGUAAUGAAAGUGAAAGUCGAGAUCUUCAAUGAGCAUCGACGCCCGGACCAGACCUUUUGUGACGGAUCUGCG
rnacentral:rRNA from 1 species